UACGAAGGGGGCUAGCGUUGUUCGGAAUUACUGGGCGUAAAGCGCGUGUAGGCGGGUCUUUAAGUCAGGGGUGAAAUGCCAAGGCUCAACCUUGGAACUGCCUUUGAUACUGGAGACCUUGAGUCCGGGAGAGGUGAGUGGAAUUGCGAGUGUAGAGGUGAAAUUCGUAGAUAUUCGUAAGAACACCAGUGGCGAAGGCGGCUCACUGGCCCGGAACUGACGCUGAGACGCGAAAGCGUGGGGAGCAAACAGG
rnacentral:rRNA from 1 species